UACGUAGGGCGCAAGCGUUGUCCGGAAUUAUUGGGCGUAAAGAGCUCGUAGGCGGUCUGUCGCGUCGGCUGUGAAAGCCCGGGGCUCAACCCCGGGUCUGCAGUCGAUACGGGCAGGCUAGAGUGCGGUAGGGGAGACUGGAAUUCCUGGUGUAGCGGUGAAAUGCGCAGAUAUCAGGAGGAACACCGAUGGCGAAGGCAGGUCUCUGGGCAUUAACUGACGCUGAGGAGCGAAAGCAUGGGGAGCGAACAGG
rnacentral:rRNA from 1 species